GGCCUUUUUCCAUGGGGAGAGAAAGAAAACUAACAGAAGUUCUAGAUCUUCAUUGAAUAUCAAGUCCCAGAUUGUGUUAAUCGAUUCUCAUUAUCCUCUGAUUAUCCAAAAAAUCACUUGGACUUUUCCUUGUCUGAAGAAACUUGUAAUAAAAAAGGUGUAGUGUGAGCAGAAAGAAACACCUCACCACGGGGAAGUCUUCUAGCCAGUUCCAGGAAUGAAGCAGUGCUAUGCCAACAGAGCUCUGCCAACGAUAAGACUCUUAACAAAUACUACUGAUAUGUCGACUGAUUGAUAUAGCCCUCAGUCUCUACUCUCCCUCAUUCUGUUAUUAACAGUGAGAGAUAUAUAUUGGGACUUCCAGUCCAAGAGGCUGCUGUACAUCUCUAUCAGGAGGAUCCUUAAACUAUGAAAGAAUUGGCAAGUGGGAGGGCAAGAUUAGCAGCAUCCUAUUUAAAACUUUUAAAAUGUUAGCAUGUUUUUAAUGAUAAAAUGUUAUGUUGUGAAUUAAUGACAAAGGGUAAUAAAAAAAGGGACUGCAA